GCUAACGUAGCUUAAUUCAAAGCAUAACACUG
rnacentral:tRNA from 1 species